rnacentral:misc_RNA from 1 species
AUUUGAUCAAACAUGCUGAAGAUGGUAUUCUUGAUCUUAAUAAAGCUGCUGACACUUUGGAGGUGCAAAAGCGGCGGAUUUAUGACAUAACAAAUGUUCUCGAAGGAAUUGGUCUCAUAGAAAAGAAGCUCAAGAACAGAAUUCAGUGGAAGGGACUUGAUGUCUCAAGGCCAGGGGAAGCGGAUGAGAAUGUUGCUAGUUUGCAGGCAGAAGUUGAAAACCUUAACAUUGAGGAGCACAGAUUAGAUGAACAAAUAAGAGAAAUGCAAGAAAGAUUAAGGGACCUCAGUGAAGAUGAAAAUAAUCAAAAGUGGCUUUUUGUUACUGAGGAAGACAUCAAGAGCUUACCCUGCUUUCAGAAUGAAACCUUGAUAGCAAUUAAAGCUCCACAUGGCACUACUCUGGAAGUCCCAGAUCCUGAUGAGCAGGCUGUUGACUAUCCCCAGAGGAGAUACAGGAUAGUCCUUAGAAGUAC